UACAGAGGGGCAAGCGUUAUUCGGAAUUAUUGGGCGUAAAGGGCGCGUAGGCGGCAUGGCAAGUGGAUGGUGAAAUCCCUUGGCUUAACCGAGGAACUGCCGUCCAAACUGCUUCGCUUGAGACCGGGAGAGGUGGAGUGGAAUUCCAGUGUAGCGGUGAAAUGCGUAGAUAUUGGGAGGAACACCAGUGGCGAAGGCGGCUCACUGGACCGGUACUGACGCUGAUGCGCGAAAGCGGUGGGGAGCAAACGGGG
rnacentral:rRNA from 1 species